rnacentral:rRNA from 1 species
GUCUUAAAGAUUAAGCCAUGCAUGUCUAAGUAUAAAUAGUAUACAGUAGAAACUGCGAAUGGCUCAUUAAAACUAGUUAUAGUUUAUUGAUAUGAAUUCUACAUGGAUAACCGUAGUAAUUCUAGAGCUAAUACAUGCUAGUAAAACCUGUACUUUUCGGAAAGGUUGUAUUUAUUAGAUAUCAAACCAAUAAUCUUUCGGGAUUAUUGUGAUGAUUCAUAAUAACUGAUCGGAUCAAGGUGUACCUUGAUAGAUCAUUCAAGUUUCUGCCCUAUCAGCUUUCGAUGGUAGUGUAUUGGACUACCAUGGCAGUCACGGGUAACGGAGAAUUAGGGUUCGAUUCCGGAGAGGGAGCCUGAGAAACGGCUACCACAUCUACGGAAGGCAGCAGGCGCGUAAAUUACCCCAAUCCUGAUUCAGGGAGGUAGUGACAAGAAAUAACAACUCGGGGCCUCACGGCUUACGAGAUUGCAAUGAGAACAAUUUAAAUCUCUUAGCGAGGAACAAUUGGAGGGC